UCCUUUCUGCUAUUGGCUGCUGACCAAAUCCUGACUUCAAAAGAGAAAAACGUAAUUUAAUAGCGAUUACACAUCUAAUAACAUUAGCGUAAGUGAACAGAGAAGGUGCAAGGUGCAAGGCCCAAUGUGAAAGUUGUGAGGCGAUCGAUUGUGUUCCGUGACUGCUACCGGGUCCUUGAAUAGGCCUAAUGUACAACGUUCGCGUUAGGGCACCCGGUGGAGUUUCUGGUUACCUCUCGGGAGCUGGUGCCCUACGCAGACUGCAUACUUUGCGUAUAGGAAGCGGUGGUACUGCUCAUAAUACAUCAGGACCGCUGUAGCCAAGUAAGGUAAAUUUCCUUCAGUGUACACUCACGAGACGAAGACGAGGCUGAAUCCAGCUUCUAAUUCAGUAAUAACUUAUAUACUGAAAACUUUUUGGAAAGAUAUAUUUUCAAUGUUUGUCAGCUGAAGGAUCAAAACCAAUGGAAACAACAGUAAAACCCACGAAAUACAUUGACGCCUUGGCCCAUCUGAAGGCAGUGUGCGUAGUAGAACAUGGCUAUGCUGAUACCCUUCCUGAUAUACUCCUCCAGACAGUCUGUGUGUCGCGCUAAAGCACUGAUGUCCUUGUAUUUGCACACUCUGCAGACAGAACAGAGCAGCAUCUGGAUCCCUCUGCACUCCAUGGCCAUACAGAUACAUCACACCCAGAGCACCCUGAGACUCCAGACUACCAUUUCCACAGGCAUCGGAGUGCCAAAGGAAUGCCUGAGGACCACAAACACACAUUCAGUGACAGUUUUACUGAAGAAGAAGGCUUUUGAAAAGAAUUGUCCACAAACAAGCCCCACUUCUCAUGACUCUCAUGUCAGAAUCGACUAGAUAAUAGCCACUUUCACAAAUGAAGCCUGCUAAAUUGCAGUAAAAUUGUGAACAAAUCAGAACUUCUGAACAAAUAUUUUAAGUGAAUGAAUCAAUUUGUUUUACCUCAUUUCUUGUUUUUCUGACAUCUCUCCCUUUCGAAGCCAAUGAGCUCUAGUUUGAAGCAUGAGACUUUUUGGUGGCUUUUUAUGCCUGUAAAGACUGAUUAUAGCACUAGCCAAUUGCAUUCAUUGGUUUAACUAGUACACACUUUGAGAUGAUAGAUUGAACCAGUCUGUCAUCUUGUUCAUGAACGAACUGAAUAUACUAGUACACUUGUUCACGAAUGACGAACAUGAUGAAUCAGUCAUCAUGAUAAAUGGUCUGCAAUUAUAUAGCACUUUUUUAACCUUAACGGUUUUCAAAGUGCUACACUGUGACUCAUUCACACACACACACACACACACACACACACACACACACACACACCAAUGACGGCAGAGCUGACUUGCAAGGAGCUAGCCUGCCAUUGGAAGCAACUUGGGGUUCAGUGUCUUGCCCUAGGACACUUUGGCAUGUGGAGUCAUGUGGGCCAGGAAUCGAACCGCCAACCCUGCGAUUAGUGGACAACCCGCUCUACCACCUGAGCCACAGCCGCCCCAUAAGCUCUCAUGAACGACGAUCUGCUGACCGGGCUGGACUAAUUAUAAAUAUAAGUGAGUGAUGACUACACAUUACACUGACAAAUGGACGUUAUUGAAACUGCAGAGCUAAAGUGCUUUGUGGAAUCGUAGAGAUAAUUAGACUUGUUCCGAUUGUGAAUGACUGCUUUUUGUUCAAUGCAAUAACUUAAAGAUGGUAAUUUGCAGCCACAUACAGGCGCAAAGAUGUAACUUGCAGAAUUGGUCAAUGAAUGAAUCAAUGCACAAAUCUGAACAAAUAUUUUUGGUGAAUGGAUUCCAAAGACUCGUGUCACUGAAAUGAAUCAAAAUCAUCACCACUAAUUAAAAUAUUGAAGCCCUAACCCCAAUUUGUACAAUAACUUUGUGUUGGCUUUGUCAUGUCACCAUCAUGAGACACUAAACAAGUGCAAUGAAGAGAAA